GGGGCUGUUUUGGAUUCGACGGGAUUGAUGAAGUUUCAGGUGCAUGUAAAGUCGAAGAGCUUUUCAAAACUUCAAUUAAAUAUAAGUGCAGACAAAUUCAUGCCUUUAAAUUUUGGUCGUUCAAACGGCCUAGCUUUAGCAGCUUAAUAACCUGACUAAACCAUCAUACCCUAGCCUCUGCUAGUAGGUAGUAGGGAGUUCUAUGAUGCAUUAUAAUAUUAUCAACUAGCUAGUAAUUCUGGGUUCGGAUUGUACUUGAAAUUAUGACAACUUAAUCAAUCUAGCCAGAGGUUCUUUUGUCCUACUUAUAAACUCUGGUGAAUGCCAAGUAGGAAUAAACAUGUAGAUCUUGGAAUGGAAUAGUUUCGGACAGGGGUUCAAAUCCCCUCAGCUCCACCA
rnacentral:tmRNA from 1 species